UAACACAUGCAAGUCGAACGGGAAUUUUUAACGUAGCAAUACGUUGAAAGUUCUAGUGGCAGACGGGUGAGUAAUACAUAAGGAAUCCACCUGGAGGUGGGGAAUAACUAGUUGAAAGAUUAGCUAAUACCCCAUAAUAUAAAGAAGCGGCAUCGCUUCUUUCUUAAAGGUUUUUCGCCUCCAGACGAUCUUAUGUUCUAUCAGCUAGUUGGUAGGGUAAUGGCCUACCAAGGCGACGACGGAUAGCCGGCCUGAAAGGGCGACCGGCCAUCAGGGGCAUUGAGACACGGGCCCCACUCCCUACGGGAGGCAGCAGUGGGGAAUUUUGGACAAUGGACGCAAGUCUGAUCCAGCAACGCAGCGUGAAGGACGAAGGUUUUCGGAUUGUAAACUUCUUUUGCAGGGGAAGAAAAAAAUGACGGUACCCUGUGAAUAAGCCACGGCUAACUACGUGCCAGCAGCCGCGGUAAGACGUAGGUGGCAAGCGUUACUCGGAAUUACUAGGCGUAAAGCAUUCGUAGGCGGAAGUUUAAGUCUGCUGUGCAAUCUCU
rnacentral:rRNA from 1 species